GUGUGUGUGUGUGUGUGUGUGUGUGUGAUUGUGUGGAGUCUUUGGGGGUUGGGGGCUGUGUUAGCUGCGUCUUGUCGCUCUAAACUUAUGCGAGGAACAUGCGUUGAAUGCCAUUUCAUAAAUUGCUUAAAAUACAAAAAAAAAAAUUGAUUUAUAUAUAUGUAUAUACAUAUAUACGAUAUAUUUAUAUAGUACUCAAAUAAAACACACACAAUAAUAUAAUACUAAGUAGCUAUUCCGAGUCUGUUCUAAAGAAUUAUAAUUAUACAAAAAAAAAAAAAAAAAAAAAAGUGUCUUGUUCUUUGGUUUUAGAACUUAAAAAUUAGCAAAAAAAAAAAA